GUUCCGGUUCAUUUGCACACGGCCCGCUGCGCACGUGCAGGUUAGCCUGAGCUAAUUGCAAAGUUUGGAGGACACCUGAUGCAAAACGAUGAAAGCUUGCUUGGUUUUCUCAAAUUUAGUCGCUUUGCAGUAAAUUUAUCAAGACGUUUUUGGAAUAUGUCGUGUUAUACAGAAGGGGAAACCAAAUGGAAACUUUUUGUUGUUUUUUCACUUUGGACGUUGGCCAUUAAUGGCGCACAUCCACUUUCCUCAUCUCAGCAGGUGGGCUGGAAAAGAGUCAACGCUGUGAAGAAGCUGCAGGAGAAUCCCAGCAGAUUGAUUCUGAUUGAUUUCCAGAUCAGUUUGAUGCAAAGACUCAGCUCUCCUCCACACAGGUCAGGGAUCAUUAAAGUCCUGCCCCAUUCACAUCAUCACUCCACAAACUGUAUCAACGUUGUUCAAAGUAGUCAGUGAAAAGUGUCUGUAUCUACAUUAUUUAAUUCACUGCCAGUGUUUGGUUCUUGGUACUAUUUGGGGCUCUACAACGAUGUUUUCCAACCUUUUUGGCUUGAAACACCUUAAACUAAAUGCUGUGUACUUUUUGACAUUGAAUAAUCGGUAAUAAACUCAGUUUUUUCUAUGCCAGCACCCUUUCCUGUGGUAAUAAUACACCAUUUCCAUCCAGCUCCAUGUGUUUAAAUCUGUGUUCUCAGUUUGUGAGGGUUUGGAGUUUUAGUCGGACAGCGAGGCUACGUUAAGACAAGUUCACUUUAAUGAGAAAAGUUUAGCAAAAUACAUUAUAUUGAUUAUCUGGUUGAUUCUUUAGCAGUGCGUUGUAUUUUCAAAGCUCGUUAUAUUAUCCAUUGUGUCAAAUCUUAAUCUUUGCAGGUAGACAGUCACUGUAGACUCAUCCAAUCAGAAUGUUGAUCAUUUCUCAAUAGAUUUACAUUUUGUUUCAUUGCAGAAAGGAAAUUCUUAAAAGCCGUUCCAAUGUCAUGUCCAUUUUGUAUAGUCUUCCCCUCCUCAUUGUAGUUUGAAGUGGGUGGGUGACAGAACAUGUGGUACUGACCACCAGCACAAACAAUAAAAUGAGAUCACUUAGUUGUAUAAACUUUGCUCUCACAUCCUUCUCAUCGUCACCCUUGAGUGGUGAAUUCAAGCCACCUCUUGCCUACGCUGUGUAAAUUAUCAUAUGAAUAAAGGUACAUUCAUUGAGGAACAAUGACUCUUCUUUUGUGUUUUGUUGCUUUUCAUUCAACAUUAAUACAUUGUUUUGCUUGUCUUGUUAUUGCAGCAUUUAC
ensembl:lncRNA